GAUGAACGCUGGCGGCGUGCCUAAUACAUGCAAGUCGAGCGAACAGAUCAGCUUUUUGUUCCUUUGACGUUAGCGGCGGACGGGUGAGUAACACGUGGCUAACCUACCUAUAAGACUGGGCUAACUUCGGGACACCGGAGCCAAUACCUGAUAACAUAUUGAACCGCAUGGUUCAAUAGUUAAUGGCGGCUUUGCUUUUACUUAUAGAUGGAGCCGCGCCGUAUUAUCUAGUUGGUAAGGUAACGGUUUACGAAGGCAACGAUGCGUAGGCGACCUGAGAGGGUGAUCGGCGACACUGAAACUGAGACACGGUCCAGACUCCUACGGGAGGCAGCAGUAGGGAAGCUGCCGCAAUGGGCGUGAGCCUGACGGAGCAGCAGCGCGUGAGUGAUGAAGGUCUUCGGAUCGUAAAACUCUGUUAUCAGGGAAGACCAAAUGUGUAAGUGACUGUGCGCGUCGUGACGGUACCUGUACAGGAAGCCACGGCUAACUACGUG
rnacentral:rRNA from 1 species